AACGAACGCUGGCGGCAGGCCUAACACAUGCAAGUCGAACGCCCCGCAAGGGGAGUGGCAGACGGGUGAGUAACACGUGGGAACCUACCUUGUGGUACGGAACAACCAAGGGAAACUUUGGCUAAUACCGUAUGAGCCCGAGAGGGGAAAGAUUUAUCGCCAUAAGAUGGGCCCGCGUCGGAUUAGCUAGUUGGUGAGGUAAUGGCUCACCAAGGCGACGAUCCGUAGCUGGUCUGAGAGGAUGACCAGCCACACUGGGACUGAGACACGGCCCAGACUCCUACGGGAGGCAGCAGUGGGGAAUAUUGGACAAUGGGCGCAAGCCUGAUCCAGCCAUGCCGCGUGUGUGAUGAAGGCCUUAGGGUUGUAAAGCACUUUCGCCGAUGAAGAUAAUGACGGUAGUCGGAGAAGAAGCCCCGGCUAACUUCGUGCCAGCAGCCGCAGUAAAAC
rnacentral:rRNA from 1 species